rnacentral:rRNA from 2 species
AGAGUUUGAUCCAUGGCUCAGAACGAACGCUGGCGGCAUGCCUAACACAUGCAAGUCGAACGAGACCUUCGGGUCUAGUGGCGCACGGGUGCGUAACGCGUGGGAACCUGCCUUUAGGUUCGGAAUAACUCAGAGAAAUUUGAGCUAAUACCGGAUGAUGUCUUCGGACCAAAGAUUUAUCGCCUUUAGAUGGGCCCGCGUUGGAUUAGCUAGUUGGUGGGGUAAAGGCCUACCAAGGCGACGAUCCAUAGCUGGUCUGAGAGGAUGAUCAGCCACACUGGGACUGAGACACGGCCCAGACUCCUACGGGAGGCAGCAGUGGGGAAUAUUGGACAAUGGGCGAAAGCCUGAUCCAGCAAUGCCGCGUGAGUGAUGAAGGCCUUAGGGUUGUAAAGCUCUUUUACCCGAGAUGAUAAUGACA